GACGAACGCUGGCGGCGUGCUUAACACAUGCAAGUCGAACGGUAAGGCCCUUCGGGGUACACGAGUGGCGAACGGGUGAGUAACACGUGGGUGAUCUGCCCUGCACUUCGGGAUAAGCCUGGGAAACUGGGUCUAAUACCGGAUAGGACUCCUGGCUUCAUGGUUGGGGGUGGAAAGCUUUUGCGGUGUGGGAUGGGCCCGCGGCCUAUCAGCUUGUUGGUGGGGUAAUGGCCUACAAGGGCGACGACGGGUAGCCGGCCUGAGAGGGUGACCGGUCACACUGGGACUGAGAUACGGCCCAGACUCCUACGGGAGGCAGCAGGGGGGAAUAUUGCACAAUGGGCGCAAGCCUGAUGCAGCGACGCCGCGUGAGGGAUGACGGCCUUCGGGUUGUAAACCUCUUUCAGCUAUGACGAAGCGCAAGUGACGGUAGUAGCAGAAGAAGGACCGGCCAACUACGUGCCAGCAGCCGCCGUAA
rnacentral:rRNA from 1 species